GACAUCGAAUAUAGACGUUAUAAACACCAAAGUUGAUCGUCUUUAUGACGUCGAAUAUCGACGUCAUAAACUCCAAAGUUGAUCGUGUUUAUGAAGUCGUAUAUCGACUUCAUAAACACCAAAGUUGAUUGUGUUUAUCACUUCAAAUAUCGCCGGCAUAAACACCAAAGUUGAUCGUGUUUAUGAAGUCGAAUAUCGACGUCAUAAACACCAAAGUUGAUCGUGUUUAUGACGUCGAAUAUCGACGCCAAAAACACCAAAGUUGAUCGUGUUUAUCACUUCGAAUAUCGACGUC
rnacentral:miRNA from 1 species